UACCAGCACCCCGAGUGGUCGGGACGAUUAUUGGGCCUAAAGCAUCCGUAGCCGGCCUUACAAGUCCUCCGUUAAAUCCAGCUGCUUAACAGAUGGGCUGCGGAGGAUACUAUAAGACUAGGAGGCAGGAGAGGCAAGCGGUACUCAGUGGGUAGGGGUAAAAUCCGUUGAUCCAUUGAAGCCCACCAGUGGCGAAGGCGGCUUGCCAGAAUGCGCUCGACGGUGAGGGAUGAAAGCUGGGGGAGCAGACCGG
rnacentral:rRNA from 1 species